UUCGGGGUACUCGAGCGGCGAACGGGUGAGUAACACGUGAGCAACCUGCCCUAGGCUUUGGGAUAACCCCGGGAAACCGGGGCUAAUACCGAAUAGGACCACUGGUCGCAUGUCCGGUGGUGGAAAGUUUUUCGGCCUGGGAUGGGCUCGCGGCCUAUCAGCUUGUUGGUGGGGUGAUGGCCUACCAAGGCGACGACGGGUAGCCGGCCUGAGAGGGCGACCGGCCACACUGGGACUGAGACACGGCCCAGACUCCUACGGGAGGCAGCAGUGGGGAAUAUUGCACAAUGGGCGGAAGCCUGAUGCAGCGACGCCGCGUGAGGGAUGACGGCCUUCGGGUUGUAAACCUCUUUCAGCAGGGACGAAGCGCGAGUGACGGUACCUGCAGAAGAAGCGCCGGCCAACUACGUGCCAGCAGCCGCGGUAAGACGUAGGGCGCGAGCGUUGUCCGGAUUUAUUGGGCGUAAAGAGCUCGUAGGCGGCUUGUCGCGUCGACUGUGAAAACCCGCGGCUCAACCGCGGGCCUGCAGUCGAUACGGGCAGGCUAGAGUUCGGUAGGGGAGACUGGAAUUCCUGGUGUAGCGGUGAAAUGCGCAGAUAUCAGGAGGAACACCGGUGGCGAAGGCGGGUCUCUGGGCCGAUACUGACGCUGAGGAGCGAAAGCGUGGGGAGCGAACAGGAUUAGAUACCCUGGUAGUCCACGCUGUAAACGUUGGGCGCUAGGUGUGGGGGGCCUCUCCGGUUCCCUGUGCCGCAGCUAACGCAUUAAGCGCCCCGCCUGGGGAGUAC
rnacentral:rRNA from 1 species